GUGUUUGCUGUGGGAGCACAUAUACUAAAAUUGGAAUAAUACAAAGAAGAUCAGCACAGCACCACGCAAGGAUGGCACAGUAGACAUAUGUAUCUCUUGGUU